rnacentral:rRNA from 1 species
AGGGUUUGAUUAUGGCUCAGGAUGAACGCUGGCGGCGUGCUUAACACAUGCAAGUCGAACGAACCUUCGGGUUAGUGGCGGACGGGUGAGUAACGCGUGAGAAUCUGCCCUCAGGAGGGGGAUAACGGUUGGAAACGACCGCUAAUACCCCAUAUGCCUAUUGGUGAAACGAAUUUCGCCUGAGGAUGAGCUCGCGUCUGAUUAGCUAGUUGGUGAGGUAAUUGCUCACCAAGGCUUCGAUCAGUAGCUGGUCUGAGAGGAUGAUCAGCCACACUGGGACUGAGACACGGCCCAGACUCCUACGGGAGGCAGCAGUGGGGAAUUUUCCGCAAUGGGCGAAAGCCUGACGGAGCAACGCCGCGUGAGGGACGAAGGCCUCUGGGCUGUAAACCUCUUUUCUCAAGGAAGAAGAUAUGACGGUACUUGAGGAAUAAGCCACGGCUAAUUCCGUGCCAGCCGCCGCGGUAAUAC